AUUGAACGCUGGCGGCAGGCCUAACACAUGCAAGUCGAACGAGUGGCGGACGGGUGAGUAAUGUCUGGGAAACUGCCUGAUGGAGGGGGAUAACUACUGGAAACGGUAGCUAAUACCGCAUACCCUCGGAUGUGCCCAGAUUGGAUGAGCUAGUAGGUGGGGUAACGGCUCACCUAGGCGACGAUCCCUAGCUGGUCUGAGAGGGUGACCAGCCACACUGGAACUGAGACACGGUCCAGACUCCUACGGGAGGCAGCAGUGUGGAAUAUUGCACAAUGGGCGCAAGCCUGAUAUAGCCAUGCCGCGUGUAUGAAGAAGGCCUUCGGGUUGUAAAGUACUUUCAGCUGGGAGGCGUUACCCACAGAAGAAGCACCGGCUAACUCCGUGCCAGCAGCCGCGGUAAUUC
rnacentral:rRNA from 1 species